GGAUAACUUCGGGAAACCGGAGCUAAUACCGGAUAACAUGUUGAACCGCAUGGUUCAACAGUGAAAGACGGUCUUGCUGUCACUUAUAGAUGGAUCCGCGUCGCAUUAGCUAGUUGGUAAGGUAACGGCUUACCAAGGCAACGAUGCGUAGCCGACCUGAGAGGGUGAUCGGCCACACUGGAACUGAGACACGGUCCAGACUCCUACGGAGCAGCAGUAGGGAAUCUUCCGCAAUGGGCGAAAGCCUGACGGAGCAAACGCCGCGUGAAGUGAAGAAGGUCUUCGGAAUCGUAAAACUCUGGUUAAUUAGGGAAGACAAAUGUGUAAGUAACUGGCCUUAGAGAUGACGGUAUUAACCAGAAAGCCACGGCUAACUACGUGCCAAGCAGCCGCGGUAAAUACGAAGAGUCGUGGGAAGGCA
rnacentral:rRNA from 1 species